UUUUGACAAAAUAUAGGAAGCGUAUUGGUUAGCAUGUACAUGCAGACAAUGUUUCUCUCCAAAGCUUUUAAUUAGUUCUUCCCCUUCAUCUACUGGUUGGGCUUGUAGUAUUAAACAUCAGGACUUGACACCAGUGAUCACAGAACCAUAGAAUGGCUUGGGUUGGAAGGGACCUCAAGAAUCAUCAAAUGAUGAGAAAAGCGAUUUCAGGAACACUGUUCUUCAGGCCAUGUGCUCCUCGUUCAGCCUUAUUUCAGUUCUCAGUGGACUGAGUGGAUGUUGAUUUCUGUAGUAUGACUAUAGUCAUAAAACUGCAAUCUUGAGUCAGACCUUGUGAUUUCAGGUAAGAAUUAUUUUAGCUUUUAACAUAGGAACUGUUCAACUGUGAGUUGCUCACAGUUAUACAUAUCUUAUUUCCAGAUAGUAAGCAGUAAUAUUUGGCAAAAAUGAAGCUAAAUUUGUUUUCUCCAUACCAGAAAGAACCCAGAGAGUUGGUGGUGCAAAGCCUGUACACUGCUGUAGGACAUUGAUUUUAGACGCUGUUGCCAAUAAACAAAAUGAAGCAUUUUGGACUGGCAUAGAAAUCUGUCCUAGAGCCAUGGAAUGGUAUGGUGGAGUGUGGAGGGAACCCAGAACAGUGGGAAGUCAGGAGCACCUGUGAAAAUACUCCAAAAACAUUAUCAUUUCGGGUGAUGAGCAGGGACCAAGUUGGUGACCCUGCACAUAGCAGGGGUGUUGAAACUAGAUGAUCAUUGUGAUCCUUUUCAACCCAGGCCAUUCUAUGAUUCUAUGAUCAUAUAUGAAUAUCUCAAACGGGAAGGGACCCACAAGGAUCAUCGAGUCCAACCCCUCACUCCACAACAGACCACCCAAAUGCAGACAGUCCUCCAGCUGCAGCAGCUCGGGGCCGUGCCCACUGCUCCUGGAAGCCCAUUCCAUGCCACCGCCCUGGCGCAGACCCUUUCCCUAAGCCCCAGCUGCCCUCCCCUGGCACAGCUCCAUGCCGUUCCCUCGGGCCCUGUCGCUGUCCCCAGGCAGCACAGCUCAGCGCUGCCCUCCGCUCCCUGUGAGGAGCUGCAGCCGCCAGGAGUGCCGCCCUCAAGCUGCUCUGCUCCGGGCUGAGCACACCGAGGGGCCUCAGCCGCUCCUCAAACACUGCGCCCCCAGAUCCUUCCCCAUCUCUGCAGCCCUCCUUUGGGCACUCUCUAAUAGCAUCUUACGUAGUGGCACCCACACCUGCACCCAGCGCUGGAGGUGAGGCCGCACAGCGCAGAGCAGAGCGGCACAGCCGCUUCCCUCGCCUGGCAGUGCUGGGCCUGACGCCCCCCAGCUACGGUUGACCUUCUGACUGCCAGGGCGCACUGCCGGCUCAGAUUCAGCUUGCCAUCAAACCAGAUCCCUUUUUGCCAGGCUGCGCUCCAGCCCCUCACCACCAAUGUCUGCACACACAGCCAGGGGCACCCCAUCCCAGGUGCAGAACCCAGCGCUAGCUCUUCUCUGUGCAGAUGGAGACCACCCUCAUCUUGUCCAGAUCUCGGUGCAAGGCUUCUCUACCCUCAAGGAGCUGAAAACUCCUCCCAGCUUAGCAUCAUUCACAAAUUGAUUGAUACUAUCUCCAGAUCUUUAUUGGAGUCAACAGUAAAAACAAUAAGGAGUAAUAGCCUUAAAAUGGAGCCCCGCAGAAUCCCAGUGGUGACAAAUAGGGCAACUGUCAGGACAAAGAAACCAAUCACCCAAUACAGCCGUGUUUUUGUUGCCAAGGGACAUUCUUAAGGACACAUUGCCAUGGCUUUAUGCUGUCAUGAGCCACCUUCCCGCCAACAGCUAUAAAUAUGGGAAACCUGACAACAGAACACCAGCUGUGGUGCAAGGCAGCCAGCCAAUAAAGGCAGGCAGGAACUCCA
ensembl:lncRNA